CACUGAGGGAAGCACUGAGCUUGUUUCCAGUCUCUGGUUUUUUGUAGAGUCGUACCGGGAAAUACCGGUUCUUUUCAUCAUUGGGCUCUUGUUUAAUUCAAACUCAGGCUGGUUAUGACCAAAAGCAACUCAAAGAAAACAGCUGUUCGUUAGCUAAUUUGAAAUACUUAGUGGUCACACUAAGGCUGUAGCUACCAGCUUGAAACUAUGACUGCAAAUAGGCUUCCCGUGCUGCAGAUCAUCCCCUUCAUUAAACCAAGUUAUUCUGAGACUGCUAUGGAAGCUCCCUCAGAAACAACUCCCACACAUCGCACUUGCACAGGGGUUGCAGAGCUGGUGCUUGACUCAAAAGGCAACUCUACCUCUUCCUUCUCUGUUCAGGCUCCCCCUGCCCCAUGAUGAGAGCUACAAGACCCAGGAGGUUUUAAAUACAUUGUCUCUCAUCCCUAGAGAGAUGGAGCCAAGUGCUGGACUGCUACUUUUCUAAGGAUUGAAAAGUGCCAUGGAGAAACUGAUUGGAUCCAGGCAGCCCUUUGCUGGACUUCAGGAGAUGACAGGUUCCAGGCGGGUCCCCAGCAGAGGCCCACAGCUAACAGUGAUGUUUCCAAAGGCACUUUACCACGUCAGGCAUUCCCAACAGCCCAGUGAAUCCUCCCUUGCUUGCAACUCCAGCUCCUUGUGUUAAGAGCAUCUUCACCAAAAGUAAAACGCCCCAGCAAGCUGAUCCAGAGAUAUUUUAGCCUGUUUCCAAUCUUGUCAAUGGUGGAAAACUACCACAGAGCUGGUGUUUGAGAACAAGAGGAUCACCCUGGGAAGGAAGAUCUCUGCUCUGCUUUCUCAUGCUGAUUUACUGUGGAGCUUUUCAGUACAAAAGCUGAGAAGCUGCUGGACAGUAAGAAGCCAGGAUCACUUCACUUUUAUUCACUCUCUGGGAUGCAAACAAAAGAAACCAGAGCAAGUUCCUGCCUGCUGAAAUUCCAGGGGCUCAUACUGAAUUACAGCCUGUAGGCACUUUGAAUCUUUCCUUGUAUGCAUCAGCUCGGCACUGCUCCCAGGCAACUGUACUUUAAGUUAGUUAUUAAUAAUAAAGGAUAAACUACCAACAGUUCUCAUUAAUUUCCAUGGUAAUAUUGCCUGAAAUGAGAUAAACUACUGGGCUUUCAGUUGUGUAACCACAGCUCGUAACAUGAAGGAAUGCAAUCCAGGAAAAAUGUUCAGAUGGUGGAGAGUGAUCGGCCUUGCGUAACCUCCCUAAAGGCCCAACUUCCCCUCGUAUCUAGCAAGCUGCACUCCUCAUUUUCUGAAAAUUUCCAGCCUCUGUCCUCCAGGCUCCUAUCUUCAGCAUGCCUCACAGCAUUCCUUAAGCAUUCCACCCGCCCAUCUAUUCAUUUAUAUCCCUUUUAACAAUGCACUGCUAGAGCUUCCAUAAAAGAAAACGUAACUGGAAUAUAAACAGUAAGAGAACAAUUUCAAAACCUA